GGUAACUAAGUGCCAGGAGCGGCGGUAAUACGUAGGAUCUCAUCGGUGUCCGGAUUUACGUGGUGUAAAGGGUGCGCAGGCGGGCGGGUAAGUCGGGGGUGAAAUCUCGCCGCUCAACGGCGAAACUGCCUUAGAUACUAUCAGUCUUGAAUAAGCGAGAGAUCCGUGGAAUUCCGAGUGUAGCAGUGAAAUGUGUAGAUAUUCGGAAGAACACCAGCGGCGAAGGCAGCGGGUUGGCGCUUUAUUGACGCUCAGGCACGAAAGCAUGGGGAUCAAACAGGAUUAGAUACCCCAGUAGUC
rnacentral:rRNA from 1 species